rnacentral:lncRNA from 1 species
UUCAGUCAGGCAUCCUUGCACCAAACAAGCUCGUCUGCUCCCUCCCCUGUGGGUUUGAAUUAGUCCCACUUUACAUUAGUUUCAAACACCUGUAACUACAGUUCCAUGACAAUUUAAGCGGCCCUUUAACCCUACGCUCUCCCACAAACCAAACGUGCAUUCCUGCUCCCCCCUUUCCACUGGCUUUUGCUGUUAUCAGAUCUUGUGGUGGGCCCAGUCAGGGAGCUGAAAUGGUAGGAAAAUAAUCUAACUAAAGUGAAUAUUUGCUUUACCACUGGACAAGUUGAGAACAAUUAAGUAUAUCUUGAAUAAUUCUGAGCUCAACAGGGCAUGAGUGGUACUUCUGUAUGAUAAAAGCAUAGGAAAUCCUUAACUGUUAUUCUGUAUGGUUAGUGUCAAAGUAAUCUUACAUAUUUUUAUACAUACAUUGCAUUGAAGAGGGCAUUCUUAAACAUGUAGCUUUUGAAAAUUUUACUUAAGUAGACUGAAAAAUUGAUUAAAGAGGUGAAUGGACAUGGAGAUUUUUAACUGUAGAUUUAAACCUAGCUCUGACCAGAUGUAUCCCACUCUUUUGCAUAGUCUAGUGGCCUGAUGGUAAAGCUCAUCCACGUUUAUUAGCUGUCUUGUUGGAAUCUAAGCGAAGAAAUCAAAGUCCAAAUAUAUCCAACGUGAACUGAUAUAUCCCUGCAGAGGCACCUUCGCUGGUUAUAAUGAGAAGGAAAAACCGAAUGCAAACUGCCUGGGGGUGCAUUGCCCAACGCUGGGAGCUGCUGUAGUUAUGGCUGGAGGCCACCAACACAACUGCUCCUCUUCUCCUGCUCAGGCUCAAUGCUCAUUGCCAUCCUGGGAUGCUCUGGGGGAGAAGAAGAUCUUUGAAAAGCCAUUCUGGGGAAAGUUUUGUGCUCACUUACAAAUACAACAUAACCGUGUGGAACCUGGAUGAGGUAGUCUUUUAAUGUGGUUAAGUUUUUAUGGAAAUGAAACUCGUGAAGUUCAUAAACAGAACUGUUAUUUGUUUGCACGUGCUGUUUCUGUUACAGGGAGGUGCUACACACGCACCCAUAAAAUGUGCCUUUCAGCUCAAGUUUCAGGAUCCCUUUAAUCCAGUCCGAGGCUAUCGGGGUGGGUUCUGCCUUUUCCUCCUCGCCUUUUGGCCUUUUCCCCUGUGUUGGUGGAGCAGUUUUCACCAGGGCUGUGAGCGGAGUGACCCGCUCCCCGGCUGCACGCUCAGAUUGAAGCUGUGGGGCAGCCUGGGAGGUGCUCUGUGUCAAGGAAGAAGGUUGGAGCCUUCCUGGUGUAUUUUCCUGCCUGGCAAACCCUUGUUUACGAACUGGAGAGCAAAGAAAACCCUGAAGGAUAAAAAUUGUGAAAAAUGGAGAGCCUGCUGCUGUUACCUCAAACCUCACCUCAGACAGCGUACAGGGCAGUAACUUCAAUGUCUGAAGAUUCUGUCCUCAACAUACUGGAAUCUCCAAGAGCUUCCAAUGGUGGCUGAGCUGACUCUGUGCCCGUCCCAAAGCAUAAAUGAAGGCGCUGUGGCUUCAGAUGAUAAACCAGAUUGUCACCGUCACGGUGACAAUUCCAGUUGGCCUUGGCCGGUUUGGAGCUAAGAGCUGGCACUGGCUGAGCCCGCUGUGGUGACUUGACGGGAGAUUUGCUGGCCAACACAGGGAAAAUGGAUUUGUAAAAUAAUUGAAGAGUGGGGCAGGCAGAGCAGUGGAAUGGGAGUUCUGUGACCGUCGGCUUAACAUAACUUUAUAUAUACGGAAUUUUAAUACAGACUGAACAAAAAGCAAAGGAGAGGUGUGAAGAAGAACUACCCGUACUUAGCUCUUCUUUGUUUAUAAUGUUUUCCUAAUCUUAGUUAUUAAAAUGAAGUUUUAAUUUCUUUAGAAGUUAUUCGCAAAGGAAAAACUGUGUCAGAAAUAUCAUUGAUGUCAAAUUUGAAUAUAUCUCAUAAACUUUAGACUUUGAAAAAAUCCCUUCUGGUUUCUGUUACCUGGGUUUUUCAUCUUUUUUGGUAUUGCAGUGUCAGCUCACUGUUCCAGCAGGUAUCGUGCAGAAUAUUCUGGAGAUCUAGGUUUCCACUGCUUGUGCUGGAAACGUUGGCCAAGUGUUGGCCAAGUGCAGGG